rnacentral:lncRNA from 1 species
UAAUAAGAUAAAAAAUAAGAGUAGGACUACUAUACUCUUAUGAGUAGUGGACCCUUAAUACUCAUAAGUUGUUUUUCGAUGAUGGAGCUUUCGAAUCGACGAUUCACUCCGUUAAAUAUGAUUUAGAGUAUUUGAAACUUCUAUAAAAUAAAUUUCGUAAUUUUUCGAAAUCAUAAUAAAGUCCAUCGAGCGAGCAUAAAAUGAACGGUCAAAAUCGAACGACAUCCUAAAAAUGGAUGAUCGGAUAUUUCAAUUUAAGAUCGGAGUUAUUAGUCUUUAUCUAGAUAGUGAAUAAAAUUUUCUAUCAAAAAUUCAACCUAUUCCAAUUUUUUUCCACCGUUAAACUAGCAAGUAUCCCAUACCGGUCAUUAAAAAUUGUCAAUUUUGUAAGCUUUUGAUCGUAAGGUAAAUGAUGUCGAAAAAUUAUGAAAUUGAAUUUCUAGAAGUUUUAAAUGCUCUAGAUAACGUUUAACGGUGUGGAUCGUCGUUUCGGCAGCUCUAUCAUCGAAAACAACUUAUGAGUACAAGAGCGAUCGUACUCAUGAGAGUAUAGUAGUCGGACUCUAAAAAAUAAUUCUUACUUAAUUCAAUAGAUCGAUCAAAAUAGAUUAUAGAGU